GAUUACGGACACUGAAGACUUUAAGCAGAAAGUUCAAGUCUGGGUGGCCAAAAGUUAUAUUUCAGUGACCUGGUUACCGUCUCUCUCUGCAAACCCAAAGGAUCACUUUCCUCAGCGGAUCUGCCCCAAUCAUCAUUAACGGGACCACAGUGGAGAGAGUGAGCAUCUUCAAUACCUUCAAAUGCCCUGCAAAGAGUAGCUGAGCACAUGUCCAGAACAUCUCUCCCCUCUCUGCAAGACAUCCAAACCAGGAGAUGUAAAUCUAGGGCUGUUAAGAUCCUUAAAGACCCCACCAACCCAUCUGCUACAGUCAGGCAGACGCUUCUGCAGUCUGAUGGCAAAGACGGAGAGGCUCAGGAGGAGUUUCUUCCCUCAUGUUAUCAGACUACUAAACAUGGACAUUAAACACACUGCACUUUAUAGACUGGUUGUUUAGGGCUACCCAAUAACUCUCUGCACACUGCGCUUUUUGACAACCUAACUAGGUAUUUCAUCCUCACUGCACAUUGUGUACAUCUCUGCACAUUAUCUGAGUAGCAGUUUCUGUGUAGCACCUCUACAAAUCAUCUGUGUAGUAAUACAGUAUAUUGUGAAUAUUUCAUUAUUUGUAUUUAAUUAUCUCCAAAAAAAAAAAAAACAU